rnacentral:rRNA from 1 species
UACGGAGGGCGCGAGCGUUGUCCGGAAUCACUGGGCGUAAAGGGCGCGUAGGCGGCCCUGGUAAGUCUGCGGUGAAAGCCCGGGGCUCAACCCCGGGUCGGCCGCGGGUACUGCCGGGCUGGAGUGCCGUAGGGGCAGGCGGAAUUCCGGGUGUAGCGGUGGAAUGCGUAGAGAUCCGGAAGAACACCAGUGGCGAAGGCGGCCCGCUGGGCAGUGGCUGACGCUGAAGCGCGACAGCGUGGGUAGCAAACAGG